rnacentral:lncRNA from 10 species
UGAAAGUCCUCAUACUAUUAAAUAAAGAUUCACUAGACAUAGGGACUUAAUAACUCCCUGGAGCAUUGAUCCUUCAUUUUACAAAUUAGGCAGCAAAUACCAGGUUCUACUUUCUUGUUAGUAGAGCAGGAAGAAAAGAUGUGUGGCCUAAGCAUAACUUAACAAAGCAUGAUUUAGCGUUACUGGAAAACUUAGUUUGUUUACUUCAAGACAAAAUAUUUGUGAGAGUUUAAAUCUCUAUUCAAGUAUUAGUAACUACUCUUAAAACAUGUUUUGGAGCAAAAACACUUCUCUUAGCCUUAAUUUGACUUUGCAGGCUGUACCUCAUUUCUCUCAACCUAUAUUUUUCUGCAGCUGCUGAAAUCUCUAAGGAAUAUCUCUCCAUGGAGACAGAGCCAGACGGCCCAAGUCUCUUCUCUGUUCUUGAGUUCCUGUUUUCAAGUAAUGAUUUGGAUAAACUGGAGACCAGUUUCCUUUCCUCCAACUCUGGCAGCUGAAAUUAAUUCUCCAAAGACUCCUCUUUGGAGGCAAGCAGAUGGUACACAUGCACAUGUUUUAGUUUCGAUUGUACCAGUUUUGAAUAAUUUAAAGUUCCAAAUCUCUAUAAAACUACUGUAUUCCCAUUUCCCAAUACAUUUUUUUCUUUUGCCUCAGAAAUUCUUUCGUUAUAUUUUGACAUUUGGCUGAAACUUCGUUCACUUUGUACUGGCUUCAUUGUCACACACCUCCUGCUGUUCUUUGUUACAAUUUUAGAUAAGUAUGGCUUUAGAAAACUAAGAUGCUUUUAGAAACUAUUCUGCUGGUGAUUUUCCCUUUACCAUUUGCAAAGCAUUUUGUAUACAUAAACAGCACAUUAGCCAAAUGAUAUUGUUAUCACAGUUUCUGUUGGUCUGCACUUGGCUCUCGCUUUAGAAUUACCCCAAAUAGGUUUGCAGAAUUUUAUAGUUGCAUUAUGAGGCACUCAAUAAUAUGUAUGAACUUAGGCAUUUCUUUUCUGCCAUUCUGUUUGAGAAACAGCCCAUCCUAUCUCUGCUGAAGAUUCAUUGCUGCUUCAGGUAGAACGUGAUAAAGUUUGGAAAACAGAAACUCAGAACAACUGAAGAGAGCCUCAGAAAUCUCAUCUUUUUGAUAGAACACUUCCCUUAGGGACUUUAACAAUUGCUAUGCAGAAUCAACAAAUAAAUAACUUUCAGUGGUGUUUUGUCUCUCUUGAUUUCAACCAUUCAAGUGAUGUGACUUCUACCACUUCCCUUGAGGGGUAAUUCCAUAUUCCAGCAGUUUUCACUGUCAGGAAGUUUCUCAUGCGCUCUACCCAAGUUGUCUUUUCUCUAACUUCCUUCCAUUUCUGAGUUACACCAAAUCUGAACACAUCACUAAAUGGCUUCUCAUUUCUAGUGAGGGCUUACACUUUUAAACAUUUGGCUGACUAGUGUUUUAUUUCUCACUUUCCCAAGAGUUAUAUAUUUACCUCCAACACACUUCUUUCUUCAGUCACUCUACUGUCUUCAUCAAUUUCAAGCCCUUCCCUGAAUAGCCUUUAAAUUUGUUUCCUAAAUAGUUUGAAGCGAGGCAUAGGAAAAUCAUAGUUCUUCUAUAAACCACUUAAAACAGUACCAAUAUUUAUGUGUUUCAAUUCACAACAAAAGCCAAGAAAUCAGAAAGUAGAUCGCUGACAAAAUAAUGAGGGAAUAGGACUUCCACCUUAGGGACUGCUUUAAUUUGAGAACUGAAAGAUCACUUCUCGAGAAUCUGUUGCAGAAACAGUGUACUAAAAAUGGAAUUUCAAAAUUCACAGAAUUGUAAGGUAAGUUAUACUCAAAAUCAUCCAUUCUUUCAUAAGAGACUUAGAAUGCACUUGUG